rnacentral:rRNA from 1 species
UACAGAGGUCUCAAGCGUUGUUCGGAUUCAUUGGGCGUAAAGGGUGCGUAGGUGGCGCCAUAAGUCAGGUGUGAAAUCUCGGGGCUCAACUCCGAAACUGCACUUGAUACUGUGGUGCUCGAGUACUGGAGAGGAGAUUGGAAUUUACGGUGUAGCAGUGAAAUGCGUAGAUAUCGUAAGGAAGACCAGUGGCGAAGGCGAAUCUCUGGACAGUUACUGACACUGAGGCACGAAGGCCGGGGGAGCAAACGGG